GGCGAACGGGCGAGUAACGCGUGGGCAACCUGCCCUCCAGUUGGGGACAACAUUCCGAAAGGGAUGCUAAUACCGAAUGUGCUCCCUUCUCCGCAUGGAGGAGGGAGGAAAGAUGGCCUCUGCUUGCAAGCUAUCGCUGGAAGAUGGGCCCGCGUCUGAUUAGCUAGUUGGUGGGGUAACGGCUCACCAAGGCGAUGAUCAGUAGCCGGUCUGAGAGGAUGAACGGCCACAUUGGGACUGAGACACGGCCCAAACUCCUACGGGAGGCAGCAGUGGGGAAUCUUCCGCAAUGGACGAAAGUCUGACGGAGCAACGCCGCGUGAGUGAUGAAGGUCUUCGGAUUGUAAAACUCUGUUGUUAGGGACGAAAGCACCGUGUUCGAACAGGUCAUGGUGUUGACGGUACCUAACGAGGAAGCCACGGCUAACUACGUGCCAGCAGCCGCGGUAAUACGUAGGUGGCAAGCGUUGUCCGGAAUUAUUGGGCGUAAAGAGCAUGUAGGCGGGCUUUUAAGUCUGACGUGAAAAUGCGGGGCUUAACCCCGUAUGGCGUUGGAUACUGGAAGUCUUGAGUGCAGGAGAGGAAAGGGGAAUUCCC
rnacentral:rRNA from 1 species